UGUAACUAGUGGUGCUAUUAUGUGCCC
rnacentral:piRNA from 1 species